rnacentral:rRNA from 1 species
GAAAGAUGGUUCUGCUAUCACUCUUGGAUGGACCUGCGGUGCAUUAGCUAGUUGGUAAGGUAACGGCUUACCAAGGCAAUGAUGCAUAGCCGAGUUGAGAGACUGAUCGGCCACAUUGGGACUGAGACACGGCCCAAACUCCUACGGGAGGCAGCAGUAGGGAAUCUUCCACAAUGGACGAAAGUCUGAUGGAGCAACGCCGCGUGAGUGAAGAAGGGUUUCGGCUCGUAAAGCUCUGUUGGUAGUGAAGAAAGAUAGAGGUAGUAACUGGCCUUUAUUGACGGUAAUUACUUAGAAAGUCACGGCCAACUACGUGCCAGCAGCCGCGGUAAUACGUAGGUAGCAAGCGUUGUCCGGAUUUAUUGGGCGUAAAGCGAGUGCAGGCGGUUCAAUAAGUCUGAUGUGAAAGCCUUCGGCUCAACCGGAGAAUUGCAUCAGAAACUGUUGAACUUGAGUGCAGAAGAGGAGAGUGGAACUCCAUGUGUAGCGGUGGAAUGCGUAGAUAUAUGGAAGAACACCAGUGGCGAAGGCGGCUCUCUGGUCUGCAACUGACGCUGAGGCUCGAAAGCAUGGGUAGCGAACAGGAUUAGAUACCCUGGUAGUCCAUGCCGUAAACGAUGAGUGGUAAGUGUUGGGAGGUUUCCGCCUCUCA